rnacentral:rRNA from 1 species
CCUACGGGCGGCAGCAGUGGGGAAUAUUGCACAAUGGGGGAAACCCUGAUGCAGCGACGCCGCGUGAGUGAAGAAGUAUUUCGGUAUGUAAAGCUCUAUCAGCAGGGAAGAAAAUGACGGUACCUGAUUCAGAAGCCCCGGCUAACUACGUGACAGCAGCCGCGGUAAUACGUAGGGGGCAAGCGUUAUCCGGAUUUACUGGGUGUAAAGGGAGCGUAGGCGGCAGCACAAGUCUGGAGUGAAAUGCCGGGGCUUAACCCCGGAACUGCCUUGGAAACUGUGCGGCUAGAGUGUAGGAGAGGUAAGUGGAAUGCAUAGUGUAGCGGUGAAAUGCGUAGAGAUUAGGAGGAACACCAGUGGCGAAGGCGGCUUACGGGACUGUAACUGACGUUGAGGCUCGAAAGCGUGGGGAGCAAACAGGAUUAGAUACCCCAGUAGUC